rnacentral:rRNA from 1 species
GGAAUCUGGGAGGACCAUCUCCUAAGGCUAAAUACUCUCUAGUGACCGAUAGUGAACCAGUACCGUGAGGGAAAGGUGAAAAGCACCCCGGAAGGGGAGUGAAAUAGAACCUGAAACCGUGUGCUUACAAGUAGUCAGAGCCCGUUAAUGGGUGAUGGCGUGCCUUUUGUAGAAUGAACCGGCGAGUUACGAUUUGAUGCAAGGUUAAGCAGUAAAUGUGGAGCCGUAGCGAAAGCGAGUCUGAAUAGGGCGUUUAGUAUUUGGUCGUAGACCCGAAACCAGGUGAUCUACCCUUGGUCAGGUUGAAGUUCAGGUAACACUGAAUGGAGGACCGAACCGACUUACGUUGAAAAGUGAGCGGAUGAACUGAGGGUAGCGGAGAAAUUCCAAUCGAACCUGGAGAUAGCUGGUUCUCUCCGAAAUAGCUUUAGGGCUAGCCUCAAGUGAUGAUUAUUGGAGGUAGAGCACUGUUUGGACGAGGGGCCCCUCUCGGGUUACCGAAUUCAGACAAACUCCGAAUGCCAAUUAAUUUAACUUGGGAGUCAGAACAUGGGUGAUAAGGUCCGUGUUCGAAAGGGAAACAGCCCAGACCACCAGCUAAGGUCCCAAAAUAUAUGUUAAGUGGAAAAGGAUGUGGCGUUGCCCAGACAACUAGGAUGUUGGCUUAGAAGCAGCCAUCAUUUAAAGAGUGCGUAAUAGCUCACUAGUCGAGUGACACUGCGCCGAAAAUGUACCGGGGCUAAACAUAUUACCGAAGCUGUGGAUUGUCCUUUGGACAAUGGUAGGAGAGCGUUCUAAGGGCGUUGAAGCAUGAUCGUAAGGACAUGUGGAGCGCUUAGAAGUGAGAAUGCCGGUGUGAGUAGCGAAAGACGGGUGAGAAUCCCGUCCACCGAUUGACUAAGGUUUCCAGAGGAAGGCUCGUCCGCUCUGGGUUAGUCGGGUCCUAAGCUGAGGCCGACAGGCGUAGGCGAUGGAUAACAGGUUGAUAUUCCUGUACCACCUAUAAUCGUUUUAAUCGAUGGGGGGACGCAGUAGGAUAGGCGAAGCGUGCGAUUGGAUUGCACGUCUAAGCAAUAAGGCUGAGUAUUAGGCAAAUCCGGUACUCGUUAAGGCUGAGCUGUGAUGGGGAGAAGACAUUGAGUCUUCGAGUCGUUGAUUUCACACUGCCGAGAAAAGCCUCUAGAUAGAAAAUAGGUGCCCGUACCGCAAACCGACACAGGUAGUCAAGAUGAGAAUUCUAAGGUGAGCGAGCGAACUCUCGUUAAGGAACUCGGCAAAAUGACCCCGUAACUUCGGGAGAAGGGGUGCUCUUUAGGGUUAACGCCCAGAAGAGCCGCAGUGAAUAGGCCCAAGCGACUGUUUAUCAAAAACACAGGUCUCUGCUAAACCGUAAGGUGAUGUAUAGGGGCUGACGCCUGCCCGGUGCUGGAAGGUUAAGAGGAGUGGUUAGCUUCUGCGAAGCUACGAAUCGAAGCCCCAGUAAACGGCGGCCGUAACUAUAACGGUCCUAAGGUAGCGAAAUUCCUUGUCGGGUAAGUUCCGACCCGCACGAAAGGCGUAACGAUUUGGGCACUGUCUCAACGAGAGACUCGGUGAAAUCAUAGUACCUGUGAAGAUGCAGGUUACCCGCGACAGGACGGAAAGACCCCGUGGAGCUUUACUGUAGCCUGAUAUUGAAAUUCGGCACAGCUUGUACAGGAUAGGUAGGAGCCUUUGAAACGUGAGCGCUAGCUUACGUGGAGGCGCUGGUGGGAUACUACCCUAGCUGUGUUGGCUUUCUAACCCGCACCACUUAUCGUGGUGGGAGACAGUGUCAGGCGGGCAGUUUGACUGGGGCGGUCGCCUCCUAAAAGGUAACGGAGGCGCUCAAAGGUUCCCUCAGAAUGGUUGGAAAUCAUUCAUAGAGUGUAAAGGCAUAAGGGAGCUUGACUGCGAGACCUACAAGUCGAGCAGGGUCGAAAGACGGACUUAGUGAUCCGGUGGUUCCGCAUGGAAGGGCCAUCGCUCAACGGAUAAAAGCUACCCCGGGGAUAACAGGCUUAUCUCCCCCAAGAGUUCACAUCGACGGGGAGGUUUGGCACCUCGAUGUCGGCUCAUCGCAUCCUGGGGCUGUAGUCGGUCCCAAGGGUUGGGCUGUUCGCCCAUUAAAGCGGUACGCGAGCUGGGUUCAGAACGUCGUGAGACAGUUCGGUCCCUAUCCGUCGUGGGCGUAGGAAAUUUGAGAGGAGCUGUCCUUAGUACGAGAGGACCGGGAUGGACAUACCUCUGGUGUACCAGUUGUCGUGCCAACGGCAUAGCUGGGUAGCUAUGUGUGGACGGGAUAAGUGCUGAAAGCAUCUAAGCAUGAAGCCCCCCUCAAGAUGAGAUUUCCCAACUUCGGUUAUAAGAUCCCUCAAAGAUGAUGAGGUUAAUAGGUUCGAGGUGGAAGCAUGGUGACAUGUGGAGCUGACGAAUACUAAUCGAUCGAAGACUUAAUCAA